UUCCCCCCGUUCUUUCUUUCUUUUUGUGAAAGGCAAAACUCCUCAAAGUCCUAAACUGUUAAGAGAGUUAGGUGCCCCAAGAGGAGACGGGAGAGCGGUGAUGCCUUCAGGGCAGCAGCAGAAGCAAUGGAAGGAUGGAUGAGGAACCCCGCAAAGGGGAGAGAACUCUGGAGUCUGUGAAGAGCGGGGAGCUGAGACCCAACUCGUUAUGUUACGGGUUGUGUGUUGCUGGAUCCGGCAGAGACAGCCUUGAUGUGUCACCCAAGCUGGAGUGCAGUGGUGCCAUAGCUCACUGUAGCCUCCAACUCCUGGGCUCAAGAGAUCCUCCCGCCUCAGCCUCCUGGACAGCUGGGACUAUAAGCAUGCUUCACCACAUCUGACAUUUUUAAUUUUUUAAGUUUAAAAUAAAAAUGUGAUGUUUUGUA
rnacentral:lncRNA from 1 species